AUGGGCUUUGUGCAGGUGGUCACGAACCUUCUCUCCCAGCCAGAGGUCAUUGUUGUCCCAACAGUUAAGCGGCUGGGUUUACGGCUAAUGUGGAGGACUUUCGCAAGCUCCCUUUCAUCCGUGCCGUCUCCUCUGGUUUUCGGUUACGGGCCGCUUGUAGUUACCAAACAUAGAAACUACUCAGCGUACGACUACACGGAUUUCCUCACUGUGCUCGGUUUCAGCACCGACGUCGUGAAGCGGGUGCUACCAACGAAGCUGAAGGUUGACGCUCCAAUGGUGCCAACCACAUACCUUACUGGUGCCAGCAUCCAAACGCCAAAUCAGGUGAUGUUCUGGUGGUUCCAGAGUAUGUAUAUGGCGAUGGUGACAAGGUUGUGA
rnacentral:rRNA from 1 species